UACAGAGGGCCCAAGCGUUGUUCGGAUUCACUGGGCGUAAAGGGUGCGUAGGCGGUCGGGUAAGUCUGAUGUGAAAUCUCACAGCUUAACUGUGAAACUGCAUUGGAUACUAUUCGGCUAGAGAGUUGGAGGGGGGACUGGAAUUCCUGGUGUAGCAGUGAAAUGCGUAGAUAUCAGGAGGAACACCGAUGGCGAAGGCAGGUCUCUGGGCUGACACUGACGCUCAUGCACGAAAGCGUGGGGAGCAAACAGG
rnacentral:rRNA from 1 species